rnacentral:rRNA from 1 species
AUUGAACGCUGGCGGCAGGCUUAACACAUGCAAGUCGAGCGGAGCGGCGGACGGGUGAGUAAUGCUUAGGAAUCUGCCUAUUAGUGGGGGACAACAUCUCGAAAGGGAUGCUAAUACCGCAUACUAUCAGAUGAGCCUAGGUCGGAUUAGCUAGUUGGUGGGGUAAAGGCCUACCAAGGCGACGAUCCGUAACUGGUCUGAGAGGAUGAUCAGUCACACUGGAACUGAGACACGGUCCAGACUCCUACGGGAGGCAGCAGUGGGGAAUAUUGCACAAUGGGCGCAAGCCUGAUGCAGCCAUGCCGCGUGUGUGAAGAAGGCCUUCGGGUUGUAAAGCACUUUCAGCUGGGAGGCGUUACCCGCAGAAGAAGCACCGGCUAACUCCGUGCCAGCAGCCGCGGUAAUAC